UGCCUUAGGCAUGCAAGUCAAGGGGGCCCGCAAGGGCAACCGGCGGAAGGGUGAGUAACGCGUGGGAACGUACCCAUUGGUGGAGAAUAGCUCGCCGAAAGGCGGGGUAAUUCUGCAUAACCUCGUAAGAGAAAAGGGCUUAACCGCCCGCCGAUGGAGCGGCCUACGUCCUAUCAGCUUGUUGGUGAGGUAAAUGCUUACCAAGGCGAUGACGGGUAGCUGGACUGAGAGGUCGGCCAGCCACAAGGGAACUGAGACACGGUCCCUACACCUACGGGUGGCAGCAACCGGGAAUUUUGGACAAUGGGCGAAAGCCUGAUCCAGCGACGCCGCAUGGGGGAAGAAGGCCUUCGGGUUGUAAACUCC
rnacentral:rRNA from 1 species